CUCUCGCUUCCCCCUCCCCAGCCCCAGCUGCGCGGCGCUCUGUGCCCGAGCGGCAGGAAGACUAGGUUGCGCCUUCUCUGACCCCUGGGUCUCGCUAGCAAGUGUAAGGCAGGGUGUGUGCCCUGCGCCGCCCGAGCCGGACUGCACGUCCUUUAGAAGCUUCCUCUGCCAGCUGGUGAGGCCUCCACCCCAUCACACCUGGACAGAAGCAAAAUAUCUGGAGCUGCUGGAAGGCAAGGACUGCACCUUCUUGCCAUCAUCUGCACUGCCUAGCAAAGCCCACUGAGGAAUCCUGAGGACUGAGCAUUGUCGCGCUCCAACACCAACUACCGUGCUAUGGAAUAAGAAAACUGAAAACUGCCUGGGGACUCACGCAGAAACCAUCUUGAAACUCAUCAUUGUCCAAAUACAUGAGAACAAGUACCAGGGGCAGAAGAUUACACAUGUUCCCCCUUUGGCGGGAACAUUACUGAACUAGGCUUGGCCCUCAAGUGUCCAGGAAACAGUCCUCCAUGUCCCGGCUGACAGGCGGGCCUGUGAGCCGUCAGGAGGUGUUCCCACUUGCUUCUAUCCAGCGAGGCCUUGGGAGGGAAACUGAAGUGAGCAGAGCCUCCUGUGCCCUCAGGCUGUGUGUGGGAGUUUGAGGCCCUGGUCACAGAAAGGGCCAGGCUCCAGGCAGUCGUGGCAAACACGGUCAUCGCCUCAUGAUGAAGCUGGGCUCCUCUUCCUCCUCCUCGUCCGUUCCAGACGCCUCCCUCGAGCUACUGGAUGGCUGCUCCUGGGACUGACUGGGUCCUGUAAUCACACAACACUCACAUGAGAGUCAGACAAAUCCACUCAGAGAACCGAGGGGUGCUUUAAAAAAGGAGAUACACUACAUCAAACUAACAAGCUCUGCAGAGUGAAGAAAACCAUCCACACAAUAAAGAGGCAGCCUGUGGUAUGGGAACAGCUGUUACCAAAUGGUAUACUUGAUAAGGGGUUAAUACCCAAAAUGUAUAAACUCACAACUCAACACUAAGAGGAAAAAAAAUCUGAUUAAAAAAUGAGCAGAGAACCCAAAGAGACAUUUUUCUAAGGAAGAUGUACAGAUGGCCAACAGGCACGUCACUAAUCACCAGGGGGAUGCAAACCAAAACCAUGAGCUACCACCUCACACCUGUCAGAAGGACCAGUGUCAAUAAGAUAAGAAAUACGUGUUGGUGAGGGUGUGGAGGGAAGGGAACCCUUGUGCACUGUUGGUGGGAAUGUAAAUUGGUGCAGCCUCUAGGGAAAGCAGUAUGGAGGUUUCUCAAAAAACUAAAGUAGAAAUACCACAGGACUUGGGAAUUCAUCCGGAGAAAACAAAAUCACAAAUUCGAAAAGAUAAUAUGCACCCCUAUGUUUACUGCUACAUUAUUUACACUAGCCAAGAUAGGGAAGCAACCUAAGUGCCCAUCAACAGGUGAAUGGACAAAGAUGUGGUAUGUAUUCACAAUGGAAUAUUACUCAGCCAAAAAGAAUUAAAUCUUGCCAUUGGCUGCAACAUGGAUGGACUAGAGGGUAUUAUGCUAUGAAGUCAGA